AUGGUUGUGGCUCAGUGGUAGAGCACUCACCUAGCAGGUGUAAGGCCCUGGGUUUGAUCCUCAGCACCACA
rnacentral:tRNA from 1 species